AUGUUUUUGGAGACAAGUACGCUGAUGAGAGAAUGUGGAAGAGGCUUUUGUACAGUGUGCAAGAAAAAUACCUAACAAAAUUGAAUCAGUGGGCCCAGUGAGCUGCAGGAGGACGCAGAGACUGCAGGGCUGUCACAGGCACUGACGGAGCAGGGUUUCCCUCCUGGUGGUGCUGACCUGUCUGACUGCCGAGAGCCGAUCAGAAGCGCCACCUCCCUGUCUGCUGAGCCUGAGGCCGAGUCUGUUCUGGAUGGAGCGGAGUGUGGCGAGUUCAGGGAUGUCCUGGAGUCCGUGCUGGGGGUGAGGCUGGACUUCUGGGAGGAGGAGCGGGCAGAGAUGCCGACCCUGGAGGACGAGCUCAGGGAAGCCAACAGGCUCAUUGACCAGCAGGCCCAAGAGCUGACCCGAUUGAGGCAGGUGUUGCGAGAGGGGAGAGAUGGCUCGUUUCUCCUCAAGCAGCACCUGCAGGCCAUCCUCCUCCAGGACAAUCCUGACAGCUGCCAGGGCCAGGACCUCCGUGAGCACCUGGCAGAGGGGCGCAGGCUGGCAGAGCACCUC